UUUAAAUGGCCGCAGUAUACUGACUGUGCAAAGGUAGCAUAAUCAUUAGUCUUUUAAUUGAAGGCUGGUAUGAAUGGUUGGACGAGAUAUUAACUGUUUCAUAAAAAUUUAUAUUAGAAUUUUAUUUUUUAGUCAAAAAGCUAAAAUAAAAUUAAAAGACGAGAAGACCCUAUAAAUCUUUAUAUUUAUAUUAUUAUUGUUGAUUGGAUUUUUUUUAUUAUAAUAAUAGAUAAUAUUUUAUUGGGGUGAUAUUAAAAUUUAAUAAACUUUUAAUUAUUAGAUUCAUUAAUAUAUGACUUAUUGAUCCGUUAUUAACGAUUAAAAAAUUAAGUUACUUUAGGGAUAACAGCGUAAUUUUUUUGGAGAGUUCUUAUCGAUAAAAAAGAUUGCGACCUCGAUGUUGGAUUAAGAUAUAAUUUUAGGUGUAGCCGCUUAAAUUUUAAGUCUGUUCGACUUUUAAUUUCUUAC
rnacentral:rRNA from 1 species